AGAAACUUAGGUUAGCCCCCAAACCAAGAGCCUUCAAAGCCCUAAACACGGAAUUAAACUCCGUAGUUUCUG
rnacentral:tRNA from 1 species